UACAGAGGUGGCAAGCGUUGUUCGGAAUUACUGGGCGUAAAGGGCGCGUAGGCGGUCUUCUAAGUCCUGUGUGAAAUCCCUCGGCUCAACUGAGGAACUGCACAGGAUACUGCCUGACUUGAGUCCGGAAGGGGCGAGUGGAAUUCCUGGUGUAGCGGUGAAAUGCGCAGAUAUCAGGAGGAACACCAAUGGCGAAGGCAGCUCGCUGGAACGGUACUGACGCUGAGGCGCGAAAGCGUGGGGAGCGAACAGG
rnacentral:rRNA from 1 species